UGGCAGUACUGUGUGACAUAUUGAAAGAUUAUGUUUUGUUUAUAUCACUAGUUCCAUACAUGCUUGUAGGAAAGGUAGUGGUAGUGUAAUUUUUUUGUUUGUAAAUUUGUGGUUAGUGUUGGAACCUCCUAAAAUGUCAUCUGAUAACAGUGGUGCGGGUGAAAAUGUUGAUAGAAAUGCAGCACGCGAAUCUCUUCCACCAGCUAUAGAAUAUCCAGGACCGAAUAACAUCACAGUUUCACCAAAUCAGCCAAGACAACCAACAACAUUGCAGGACCUUCUAAGAUUUAGCGUCGAGGCGGCAGGUGGACAAAUGACGCAGAAUAAUGCUGUUGCGAUAGACGAAGAGAGACGAAAAUUUUUGGAAGCAGCUCUGAAGAGCCUGACAUUUGAUGUGAUAGAAGAGUUGUUAAAGGCAAUAAACAUCCUGAAAAAUGCUGGUACACUGGAGCUGGAGGACGAUCCCUCUGCAUGUGAAGCAGCAUUGGAUACUAUUACACAGCAUGUUGAUAACAUGGACACUGCAAAUGAUUUCCACAAAAUUGGAGGCUUUUGUAUUUUCCAUCCAUGCCUGGACUCGGCACACAGCAGCUUACGUUGGCGUGCUGCAGAAAUCAUUGCCGAACUGACGCAGAAUAACCCUUACUGCCAGCAACGCAUUCUGGAGGCUAAUUUAUUACAGCCUUUGCUGAAUCUCAUAGAUAAUGAUCCAGCCAGCCAGGUCCGCGUUAAGGCCCUCUAUGCUAUUUCUUGUCUUGUACGUGAGAAUAAAAAUGCUCUUCAAGAGUUUAUAAAACAUGCGGGAUACUCAGUCCUCCUUCGUGCUAUGCAGAGCAAUGUUGAGAAGUUGCAGGUGAAAUCUGCAUUCCUAUUGUCGAGUCUCUGUUCAAGCACAGAAAUAAAAGAUGAGCUUUGUAAGAUGGGAUUUAUAGAACAGCUCAUAGGACUGGUUGGACCAGAGGGCAGCCCAGCUGUUGAACAUCUGCUAUCAGCAGUUGUUGCACUUGUGUCAGAUCACGAAUUAUCUCAGCAAGAGUGUCGGAGGCCAGAACUGCACCUUCGCGAUAAACUGUUCCAGAUUAUGCAAAACGUGUCUGGCAAGGAGGAAUUCAGAGCCAAGAUCUACUGGGAAAAUCCAGUUGGAUAACUUCAACAGGGGUGUCUUGAGGAAAACAAUUGAAGACUUCAGCUUGGUGCAGAAGACUGCCGCAAAACUUUGACCAAAACUCAAGAAAAAGAUUGGCUGGACUUGGAUUUUGGGAAAUACGUGAGUAUGCCCAGUACUUGUUGAGGCUUGUCUUUAGUGGUGAUGAAGAAGAACGUUAGUGAAGUUUACUACUUAUAAUUUCACCGUUUGAGAACCACACUCAUGGGGGAAGGCCACAAAAAUGUGUAGAGUGUACAGGCACAACUCCUGCAAUACUCAGUUUCAGCAAAUGAAAGUUGUGUCAUUAGAUUUUAUCAUUGUUAUUAAAAUGAAGUAUUUAAUUUAAAAUGUGAAUUAUAUUUGAAAACUGUUUCAUAGAUUAAAUUAAAAAUAGUGCUUUUUGUACUAAUCCACAUAAGGAUUUUAUUGCA